GUAUCCGCUUUGGCAACACAUAUACUAAAAUUGGAAUGAUACAGAGAAGUUAGCAUGGCCCCUGAGCAAGGAUGACACGUAAAUUCAUGAAACAUUCCAUAUUUUU
ensembl:snRNA U6 U6 spliceosomal RNA